CUAGUAACGGCGAGUGAAGCGGGAAGAGCUCAAAUUUAAAAUCUGGCGGUGUAUUCCGUCCGAGUUGUAGUCUAGAGAAGCAUCAUCCGUGCUGGACCAUGUACAAGUCUCUUGGAACAGAGCGUCAUAGAGGGUGAGAAUCCCGUCCUUGACAUGGACUCCCAGUGCUUUGUGUUGUGCUCUCAACGAGUCGAGUUGUUUGGGAAUGCAGCUCAAAAUGGGUGGUAAAUUCCAUCUAAAGCUAAAUAUUGGCGAGAGACCGAUAGCGAACAAGUACCGUGAGGGAAAGAUGAAAAGCACUUUGGAGAGAGAGUUAAACAGUACGUGAAAUUGUUGAAAUGGAAACGCUUGAAGUCAGUCGCGUUCUCUGGGAUUCAGCCUUGCUUCUGCUUGGUGCAUUUCCUAGUUUACGGGCCAGCAUGGAUUUUGACCGGUGGAAAAGGAUUUGGGGAAUGUGGCACCUCCGGGUGUGUUAUAGCCCCUUGUCGCAUACAUCGGUUGGGAUCGAGGUUUCAGUGCACGCUUCGGUUGUGCUUUGAUGCUGGCGUAAUGGCUUUAAACGACCCGUCUUGAAACACGGACCAAGGAGUCUAACAUGUCUGCGAGUGUUUGGGUGAAAAACCCAUGCGCGUAAUGAAAG
rnacentral:rRNA from 1 species